AUUGAACGCUGGCGGCAGGCCUAACACAUGCAAGUCGAGCGAGCGGCGGACGGGUGUGUAAUGUCUGGGAAACUGCCUGUGGGAGGGGGAUAACUACAGGAAACGGUAUCUCAUACCGCAUACGAUCAGAUGUGCCCAGAUGGGAUUAGCUAGUAGGUGGGGUAAUGGCUCACCUAGGCGACGAUCCCUAGCUGGUCUGAGAGGAUGACCAGCCACACUGGAACUGAGACACGGUCCAGACUCCUACGGGAGGCAGCAGUGGGGAAUAUUGCACAAUGGGCGCAAGCCUGAUGCAGCCAUGCCGCGUGUGUGAAGAAGGCCUUCGGGUUGUAAAGCACUUUCAGCGAGGAGGCGUUACUCGCAGAAGAAGCACCGGCUAACUCCGUGCCAGCAGCCGCGGUAAUAC
rnacentral:rRNA from 1 species